AUUUAACAAAGGCUUGUAACCUAUGUGGGGGCUUUAAGAUGGUUGGAGGUUGGCUCUUAGUAUUUGGUUGGGACUCUAAAGUUGUCUACUUGUUCGCCCAAUCCAAGAAGGGAGUUGGGCCUCGCAUUCUGGACGAAAGUCCAAAGUGUAA